rnacentral:lncRNA from 1 species
AGUCUCAGCUGUAAAAAUAGAGUCCCCAGGGAAUACUGAUAGCCUUUUUCCAAUAAAGCGAAAUCUAUUUGCAAUAAUAGGUAUAUGCAAAGACCUCCUGAAAUUACAGGAGCAAACUCCUUCCGCAUCUCGACCUAAUUAAGAUCCGUUACUCAACAGUGAUCAGUCAGAUUUUACUGUAAGAAGGAAGAAAACAAGGAUCCUGCUAGAACAACAUGGAAACAGGCUGAUCUUAGGACCUACAACAAAGAGAUUUCUCACUGGCUUCCUGGUGGUUCAUUCAAUAGGGAAUUCCUGCAGCAAGUUGGAGGGAGGGAGGAGAAGCAG